AGAGUUUGAUCCUGGCUCAGGACGAACGCUGGCGGCGUGCUUAACACAUGCAAGUCAACUUGAGGGGGCAACUCUGAAGGUGGCGGACGGGUGAGUAACACGUAGACAAUCUGCCCUUUAGAAAGGGAUAACUCUGGGAAACUGGAACUAAUACCUUAUAAUAUCUUAUAGCGGCAUCGCAAUUAGAUUAAAGUGCUUGACACACUAAAGGAUGAGUCUGCGUAUCAUUAGCUAGUUGGUAGGGUAACGGCCUACCAAGGCGACGAUGAUUAGCUGGUCUGAGAGGAUGAUCAGCCACACUGGGACUGAGAUACGGCCCAGACUCCUACGGGGGGCAGCAGUGAGGAAUGUUGGGCAAUGGGGGGAACCCUGACCCAGCAACGCCGCGUGAGUGAUGAAGCAGAUUUUCUGUGUAAAGCUCUGUUAAUUGGGAAGAAAGGAUUGGUUAGCAGCUAAUUUUGACUGUACCAUUUGAGGAAGCUCCGGCUAACUCCGUGCCAGCAGCCGCGGUAAUACGGGGGGAGCGAGCGUUGUCCGGAAUUAUUGGGCGUAAAGGGCAUGUAGGCGGGCUAUUAAGUCAGUUGUUAAAACUAACAGCUUAACUGUUAUUUGCAAUUGAUACUGGUAGUCUUGAGUAUGAGAGGGGACAGUGGAAUAUCAAGUGUAGCGGUGGAAUGCGUAGAUAUUUGAUAGAACACCUGAGGCGAAGGCGACUGUCUGGCUUUUAACUGACGCUGAGAUGCGAAAGCAUGGGUAGCAAACAGGAUUAGAUACCCUGGUAGUCCAUGCCGUAAACGAUGGGUACUAGGUGUUGGGGUGGUUAGUCGCUUCAGCGCCGUAGCUAACGCGUUAAGUACCCCGCCUGGGGAGUACGAUCGCAAGGUUGAAACUCAAAGGAAUUGACGGGGGCCCGCACAAGCGGUGGAGCAUGUGGUUUAAUUCGAUCCACGCGAAGAACCUUACCUGGGCUUGAACUUGUAGUGCAAUAGGUAGAGAUAUCUAGUUCUCUCUUUACGGAGGGACGCUAUGAGAGGUGCUGCAUGGCUGUCGUCAGCUCGUGUCGUGAGAUGUUGGGUUAAGUCCCGCAACGAGCGCAACCCUUAUCACUAAUUGCCAGCGAGUCAAGUCGGGGACUUUAGUGAGACUGCCCGGGUUAACCGGGAGGAAGGCGGGGAUGACGUCAAGUCCUCAUGGCCCUUAUGUCCAGGGCUACACACGUGCUACAAUGGGCGGUACAGAGUGUUGCGAACUUGUGAGAGUAAGCUAAUCACGAAAACCGUUCUUAGUUCGGAUUGCAGUCUGCAACUCGACUGCAUGAAGUCGGAAUCGCUAGUAAUCGCGGAUCAGCAUGCCGCGGUGAAUACGUUCCCGGGCCUUGUACACACCGCCCGUCACACCAAGGAAGUUGAUAGUGCUCGAAGCAGCUGGUCUAACCCGCAAGGGGAGAAGGUUUCUAAGGCAAGAUUGAUGACUGGGGUGAAGUCGUAACAAGGUA
rnacentral:rRNA from 1 species